CCAGCCAUUUCCAAUCACACCAACAAGUUCAAUGUAUUAUUGGAGUGGAGCCUAGCUUGAAUUGUUACUCAAUUAUUGUUCAAUUGCUGCUGAGUUCCCAUGCAAAUACCUAGCUUGGAUAUAUAGUUGGAUAGGGAAGUCGGCAGAAACAGAAAAGCUAGCUUCCUCUGCUACUAUAAUCUUCUUCAACACUGUCAUGGAUUUUGCUUCCCCGGCUAUAGUGUUAAGUUUAGUGUUAGUUUUAGCUGUUGUUGUGGUAAGACACCGGGGCCGAAGGGUGCGUGACAAGAACAAGAGAUACCAUCCUGUUGUCGGAACUGUCUUUCACCAACUCAUCUACUUCCCUAGGCUGCAUCAUUACAUGGCUGAGCUUGCAUUCAAAUACAACACUUACAGGCUGCUGGACUUCUUCAAAGGUGCUAUUUACACAGCAGAUCCUGCAAAUGUGGAAUAUGUGCUGAAAACAAACUUCACUAAUUAUGGCAAGGGGUCAUAUACAUACAACAUUUUGUCAGAUGUUGUGGUGAUGGGAUCUUCGGAGUGGAUGGGCAAAAUGGCAGCAUCAGAGGAAGAUGAUGAGUGCUGAAAUUUUCAACAAAAGUAGUUAGAGACUUCAGCACUUCGGUUUUCAAAACCAAUGCAGUUAAACUUGUUGGCAUAAUCUAUGAAGCUGCAACCAGCAACAAAGCAAUAGAAAUCCAAGAUUUGUUUAUGAAAAGCAACCUUAGACUCAAUCAUCAAGAUUGUACUUGGUAUUGAACUAGACAGCAUGAGUGGAAAAGAUGAAGAAGGUAACCUGUUUUCCCAUGCUUUUGAAGCGCAGCAAGAAGCUGCCCUGUAUCGGAUAUUUGAUAAGUUGUGGAAGAUCAAACGCUUCUUAAACAUCGGUAAGGAAGCAGAGCUAAAGAAAAACAUCAAAGUGGUUGAUCAAUUUGUGUAUAAAUUAAUCAAUAGCAAGAUUGAAGCUAUGCGACAUCCAGAACAUAACCUAUCUCUAAAGAAAAGAGACUUGGUUUCAAGGUGUUUGGAACUGAAAGAUACUGAUCCGAAGUACCUGAGAGACAUAGUCCUCUGUGUUACUGUCGCCGGACAAGACACGACAUCUAGCUCUCUCUCAUGGUUUAUUUAUAUGAUGUGCAAGCAUCUUCACAUACAAGAAAAGAUCGCAAAGGAAGUUAGAGAAGUAACAAAUUUGAAAGAGGGCUCAAAAGUUGAUGAGCUUGCAGCAAGCCUUACUGAUGAAGUCCUUAACAAAAUGCAAUAUCUCCAUGCAGCUUUGACAGAAACAUUAAGACUCUAUCCUGCAGUUCCAUUGAACAUCAGGAUGUGUUUUUGUGAUGAUACCUGGCCAGAUGGAUUUAGUGUCAAAAAGGGGGACAUGGUGGUAUACCAACUGUAUGCAAUGGGAAGGAUGAAAUCUCUAUGGGGUGAUGAUGCAGAAGAGUUUCGGCCAGAGAGAUGGCUCGACGAAAAUGGCCUUUUCCAGGAUGAAAGCCCUUACAAAUUCAUAGCCUUCAGUGCCGGUCCAAGAAUUUGUCUAGGAAAGGAACAUGCCUACACACAGAUGAAGAUAUUUUCUGCUGUGCUUUUAGGCAGCUAUAUAUUCAAGUUAGCUGAUGAGAAUAAAAUGGUGAACUACAAGACCAUGGUCACCCUACCAAUUGAUGGAGGUCUCUACGUGACUGCUUCCCCUAGAAUAUAGAAUGCAAGACCUUGUUUCCAUGUGCCACAGCUACUACUGUGCAUCAUUGGUUUUUUAUGUAACUACUUUACCUAGUAGUGUUCAAAUGCCUUGUCAUUUUUAUACCUGCUGUAAUCAACAAAAGUUAUAUUAAUAAAUUGUUGCAAUAACACAG